UCUUAAGUCUGAUGUGGAAAGCCCACGGCUCCAACCGUGGAGGGUCAUUGGAAACUGGGAGACUUGAGUGCAGGAGAGGAAGGAGCGGAAAUUCCACGUGUAGCGGUGAAAUGGCGUAGGAGAUGUGGAGGGAACACCAGUGGCGAAGGCGGUUCUUUGUUCUGUAACUGACGCUGAGGCGCGAAAAGCGUGGGGAGCGAACAGGAUUAGAUACCCUGGUGGUCCACGCCGUAAACGAUGAGUGUUAAGUGUUAGAGGGUUUCCGCCCUUUAGUGUUGCAGUUAACGCAUUAAGCAUUCCGCCUGGGGAGUACGGCCGCAAGGCUGAAACUCAAAGGAAUUGACGGGGGCCCGCACAAGCGGUGGAGCAUGUGGUUUAAUUGGAAGCAACGGGAAGAACCUUACCAGGUUUUGACAUCCUUUUGCCUUCCCUAGAGAUAGGGAUUUCCCUUCGGGGACAAGAGUGACAGGUGGUCCAUGGUUUUCUUCAGUUCGUUUCGUGAGAUGUGGGGUUAAGUCCCGCAACGAGCGCACCCCUUGCCUUUAGUUCCCACCAUUCAGUUGGCCAUUUUAAGGUGACUGCCGGUGACAAACCGGAGGAAGGUGGGGAGGACGUCAAUUCAUCAUGCCCCUUAUGCCCUGGGUUACACACGUGUUCCAAUGGAUGGUACAAAGGGUUGCUAGACCGCGAGGUUACGCCAAUCCCAUAAAACCAUUUUCAGUUCGGAUUGUAGGCUGCAAUUCGCCUCCAUGAAGCCGGAAUCGUUGGUAAUCGCGGAUCAGCAUGCCGCGGGGA
rnacentral:rRNA from 2 species